AGAUGAAAUGUGUCCAGGAAAGAGCUGGGACUGGAGCACUCUGUGUGCCGGCUCAGAUGUCCUGUGAAAACCCCAAAAUAUCUAUAAAGUGGGCUUGGAUUUGGACCUUCUCAAGAGGAAGGUUUAAAGGCUGAGGGGACUAUAAAGGGAUGAUGCUAAGUAGUUCUGAUAUUUCAAGUUGGAUUCCUAGACUGAAGCUGGACUCACUUGUCAACAGAGAAACUAAAGUUGGAAUUCAAGAAGUACAAACAUUUAGUGUUCAGGAGAGAAUAACCUGAUUGACACCACAUUUCUGAUCUGGACCUUCAUGCUGUAAAUCAUGGUUGUACAAUAAAUGAUAAAUGUCUGCAUUCUUCUAUGACCCAGAGAGGCUAAGUAACAAGGAGGGCUCAAGGUGGACACUUGGAUCUCCCUGGGAAAAGGAAAUAGAAGAUAUUUUGUGGAUGGA